AAAAAUUGUGUGCAAUUUCUUGCCAAGCCGUUACAGCAUUUUAUAUUUAAGAAAUCCUGUACAGGUUUUGCAAUAAAAUUGUGCACGAACAUU